AUGAACGCUGGCGGCGUGCCUAAUACAUGCAAGUCGCGCGAACGGACUAGAAGCUUGCUUCUCUGAUGUUAGCGGCGGACGGGUGAGUAACACGUGGAUAACCUACCUAUAAGACUGGGAUAACUUCGGGAAACCGGAGCUAAUACCGGAUAAUAUUUUGAACCGCAUGGUUCAAAAGUGAAAGACGGUCUUGCUGUCACUUAUAGAUGGAUCCGCGCUGCAUUAGCUAGUUGGUAAGGUAACGGCUUACCAAGGCAACGAUGCAUAGCCGACCUGAGAGGGUGAUCGGCCACACUGGAACUGAGACACGGUCCAGACUCCUACGGGAGGCAGCAGUAGGGAAUCUUCCGCAAUGGGCGAAAGCCUGACGGAGCAACGCCGCGUGAGUGAUGAAGGUCUUCGGAUCGUAAAACUCUGUUAUUAGGGAAGAACAUAUGUGUAAGUAACUGUGCACAUCUUGACGGUACCUAAUCAGAAAGCCACGGCUAACUACGUG
rnacentral:rRNA from 1 species